GGUGGAAAGUAAAAGAAGAAAACAUAGAUAAAUCUGAUUUUGAAUUCUCUGUCCGUCGGUGGCCGUUGCCAAUGUCUCGUCUCGUGUAACUCUUUUUAUUCCCUCUUCUUGAUUUCUCUCUGCUUGGGCCCUUUGGUAGUCUCUAGACUGUUUCUUGUUUUCUCUCUCACGCACACUCUAUUUCUUCUAAGAAGACACACACCUCGAUCUUCGCCUCUGAAUCAUGGAUUUCCGUUUUUUUGUUGUUGUCGGGAGAGGGUGAAAUGCAAAUCAAAACGAAAUGUCGGGUUUCUGAUCUUGGUUUUGGGUGCCGUCUUCCUGCCAGCAGUGGUGUUUUGUCGAAUCUUGCAGGGUGAGAUCGUCGAUUUUCCCGUUGAGAGUGCCUACGAUCCUUACACCGUCGGAGCGAAAUUGGGGACUCCUCCAAAAGAAUUCUAUGUUCAAAUUGACACCGGAGGUGAUGUCUUGUCGGUCACCUGCAAUGCCUGCAGUGGUUGCCCCAAAUAUAAAGAUUUCUUUGAAUUUCUUUGAUGCUGCUGCCUCAUCCACAACUUCUCUAGUAUCUUGUUCAGAUGAUAUAUGUAAUUUGACGGUUCAAACAUU